rnacentral:rRNA from 1 species
CUACGGGGCGCAGCAGUGGGGAAUAUUGCACAAUGGGGGAAACCCUGAUGCAGCAACGCCGCGUGGAGGAUGACACAUUUCGGUGCGUAAACUCCUUUUAUAAGUCAAGAUAAUGACGGUAGCCUAUGAAUAAGCGCCGGCUAACUCCGUGCCAGCAGCCGCGGUAAUACGGAGGGCGCAAGCGUUACUCGGAAUCACUGGGCGUAAAGAGCAUGUAGGCGGGUUAAUAAGUCAGAAGUGAAAUCCAAUAGCUCAACUAUUGAACUGCUUUUGAAACUGUUAACCUAGAGUGUGGGAGAGGUAGAUGGAAUUUCUGGUGUAGGGGUAAAAUCCGUAGAGAUCAGAAGGAAUACCGAUUGCGAAGGCGAUCUACUGGAACAUUACUGACGCUGAGAUGCGAAAGCGUGGGGAGCAAACAGGAUUAGAUACCCUUGUAGUC